rnacentral:rRNA from 1 species
GACGAACGCUGGCGGCGUGCUUAAUACAUGCAAGUCGAACGGAAAGGCCCUGCCUUUGUGGGGUGCUCGAGUGGCGAACGGGUGAGUAAUACGUGAGUAACCUGCCCACGAAUUUGGGAUAACUCCAGGAAACUGGGGCCAAUACCGGAUAGGAGCAUCUGAUGCAUGGUGGGGGUUGGAAAGUUUCGGCGGUUGGGGAUGGACUCGCUGCUUAUCAGCUUGUUGGUGGGGUAGUGGCUUACCAAGGCGUUGAUGGGUAGUCGGCCUGAGAGGGUGACCGGCCACAGUGGGACUGAGAUACGGCCGGGAGCACUACGGGAGUCAGGAGUGGGGAAUAUAGCACGAUGGGCGGAAGCCUGAUGCAGGAACGCCGCGUUCGGGAUGUCGGGCUUCGGUGUGAAGGCCGCUUUCUCCUGAGACGAAGCGUAAGUGACGGUAAUUGGUAAGAAAGCACCGGCUAACUACGUG